AGGAAAAACUUCAAAAACCCCCCCUGUGGUUUCGUGCAUUCUCACUUUGCUACCCUGUGGUUUAAAACGUAUCAAUUUACCCCCCUGUGGUUUCAUUUUUAUCUUUUCGGAAGCUUUUUCGUUAAUAUUUCGUUAAAUUAUAUACAAAAAACUUCAGAUAACCAUCUAUAUUUAUCGAAUAGUUACUUUAGUAUCCUUUAAUUUUAACUUUGUCACUGAUUUUAAAAAAAAAUAAUAAUAAAAUUGAUAAUAAAAAGAUAAAAACGAAACCACAGGGGGGCAAAUUGAUACGUUUUAAACCACAGGGUAGCAAAGUGAGAAUGCACGAAACCACGGGGGGUUUUGAAGUUUUUUCUUUUAAAGACGAUAAACGAUUCACAGCCUUUCUAAUUCCCCACAAAAGUAGUGAAUAAUUUACCGUCUUUUAUUUAUUUUCUAUUUCCUUCCAUAUAGGGACUGAGCUAUUAAUACACCCAAAGGGGCCAUAGCGCCCCUCAACUUUUCAAUAUUUACUUUACAGUCCUUUGUAGCUUUAUAAACCUUUAGUCAAUUUUUAAAAUAUAUGGGCCUAUCUUGUAAAAAGCUUUUAGUGCUAGUAUAGAGCUCUUUUUUUCUUAUGUGUUUUAUAGAUAAAAAUACAC
rnacentral:lncRNA from 1 species